UACGGAGGGUGCAAGCGUUAUCCGGAUUUAUUGGGUUUAAAGGGUGCGUAGGCGGCUCUUUAAGUCAGUGGUGAAAGCCUAGUGCUUAACACUAGAAUUGCCAUUGAAACUGAGGAGCUUGAGUCAAGGAGAGGUAAGCAGAAUUUAUGGUGUAGCAGUGAAAUGCUUAGAUACCAUAAGGAAUACCAAUAGCGAAGGCAGCUUACUGGCCUUGUACUGACGCUGAGGCACGAAAGCGUGGGGAGCAAACAGG
rnacentral:rRNA from 1 species